rnacentral:rRNA from 1 species
UACAGAGGGUGCAAGCGUUAAUCGGAAUGACUGGGCGUAAAGAGCGCGUAGGUGGUUAGAUAAGUCAGAUGUGAAAGACCUGGGCUUAACCUGGGGAGGUCAUUUGAUACUGUUUGGCUAGAGUACAGGAGAGGAAGGUGGAAUUUCCGGUGUAGCGGUGAAAUGCGUAGAGAUCGGAAAGAACACCAGUGGCGAAGGCGGCCUUCUGGCCUGAUACUGACACUGAGGCGCGAAAGCGUGGGGAGCAAACAGG